rnacentral:rRNA from 1 species
AUUGAACGCUGGCGGCAUGCUUUACACAUGCAAGUCGAACGGCAGCGCGGGGCAACCUGGCGGCGAGUGGCGAACGGGUGGGUAAUAUAUCGGAACGUACCCAGACGUGGGGGAUAACGUAGCGCAAGUUACGCUAAUACCGCAUACGAUCUACGGAUGAAAGUAGGGGACCGCAAGGCCUUAUGCUUUUGGAGCGGCCGAUAUCUGAUUAGCUAGUUGGUGAGGUAAAGGCUCACCAAGGCGACGAUCAGUAGCUGGUCUGAGAGGACGACCAGCCACACUGGAACUGAGACACGGUCCAGACUCCUACGGGAGGCAGCAGUGGGGAAUUUUGGACAAUGGGCGCAAGCCUGAUCCAGCAAUGCCGCGUGAGUGAAGAAGGCCUUCGGGUUGUAAAGCUCUUUUGUCAGGGAAGAAACGGUAGAGGCUAAUAUCCUUUGCUAAUGACGUUACCUGAAGAAGAAGCACCGGCUAACUACGUG